CUCUUCCUCUCUUCCCCGCCCCCUCACUCCGCCGGCCGCGUUGCUUUGGGUCGCGCGCCGCCGCGCCCCCUUCCCUAACCCUAGCUCCAUCACCUGCCCGACCCGCCGCAGCCUGCGCCACCUCCUACAUCGAGCCCCGCUGUCCGCGUCCCCGCGGCAUCGCCAUCUUCAUCCGCGUGCACUUGGCGAUGGCGCCACCCACUGCCGGCCCUUGGACCGUGCUGCUCGAGCGCGGCGCCGGCUCUCGAUCCGUCUGGAGACGGAGAUGGAGACGUCGCAGCGGAGCAGAAGCAGACGCUCGAUGCGGCGCUCCCCCGUCCCUCUUCCUCCUGCACCAGCUGCAUGCGCUCGAUUCGAUGCUCUCCCGUCGCUCCUCCUCCUCCAUCGCCGGGAGGGGCGUGGCCCUCUACUUGCGCCGCUGCUCCAGGAGACGAAUGAGUUGGGCUCGGACGUUGCUGGCCGCCUGUUUGGUCUGCAAGAGGAUGCUCCCCUCUCCCUCUGUAAUUAACAGGCAAUGUACCAUCUUUCUCUCUCAGAUAUGAUGCAUCCAUCAUUUGGGUAAUGAUUUUUUCCAUGAGCUUACUGCUUCUAUGUCCUAAUCAGAUAUUAGAUUACCGUAUGGCCCUUAGUUGCCCCUAAAACCUCAACUACUGAUGUUGCUGAGGUUACAGCCAUAACCCUCUUGCUUUGGACAGAACUUAUAAUUUCUUUUGCAUAAGUGUGCCAAGUGCUGAACUGAUUCACGUGGCUGGUUGUUAUUGGGCAUUUGUGUGGUUUAAAUAUUUCAGUAUCAGUGCAAGAUCAUCUAUCUAUUUGAGUAUUUAUCUUGGUACAUGAACAUAUUCAUAUCAAUAUAGCACAUGAAUACUUGACAUGGCUAUCUAUUUUAGUCUUGCAUUGAUAUUUUAAGAAUGGAAGUGGCCUGAAAGCCACUUGACUGAAUUGCCAUCUCUUGCAAAGUGGCAGUGCCAUGAUAAUUAGAUGCCUGCAGGGGAUCUUCUUUUCAUUGAAACAUUUACCUAUGAUAUUGAGCAUAGUUCUUUUUUCUUGAAUUUCGCUGCCAUGUAUGUGUUACUUGGAAAUUUAGCCAUCGAGCAUGUGCUUGGGCAUGGUUUAACAUUGCAGAAUAAUUGUUUGAUGUAGUUGGGGUUCUCUUUUUUGUGCGAAGUGCAGACUGAGAUGGUUUCUUGUGCAAAGUGCUGCUACCGGUCAACAAUCCAAUUUUGGUAUGUUCUUUUUUCAGGUUGGGUAAAAAAGCACUCGACACGAGUCUACCGAGGGCGUCGCCGGCAUAGACACGGUAGACUCGAGUGCAUUGCCAGAAGUCUGCAGGAGGUGCAGCAGAGAGGUCCUAGCGACCACGGCGGCACAUCCGCGGCUGGUCCACCUCGGGCUGCUUCUCCACCACCAAGCGCUUGCCCCGCGUGUGCUUCUUUUCUCCCAGGAAUGGACCGUAGCCAUGGAGAGCGGCCAGAGGAGCAAGGACGGUCAGCCCCUGCCUCCUCUCCUGCACGGCUGCACGUGAUGGGGAUUACGAGCGACGUACGUGAUUUUGCAAGUACAGGUGAUAAAGAUUCAUGAUUUGGCUGCGCGCAUGCUUGCUGGCUGGAGGAGUUUGAUUCAUUACUUGAUGGCCUCAAAAUGGAUACAAGAUCUGUUGGAAUCAAGAAGGCGUUAAGGGAAUUUAAAUUAUGUCUGAUCUGUACCGGGACGACGCCGACAGUAAAAGGAACUAAGGAAGGGUUCUUGAGGUCUGCUCCUUCUCCACCGGUAGAGAGGAGCCUCCUUCUCAUGAUUCGCCUGUCUGCCCCGGCCCUCCCCGGCUAGAGGUGACGCCAUGGAAGGUCUGGCGGCUCCAUGGAUACAUGGAAGCCGCCAUCAUUUUGUCGGACAGCCGCCAUCAUUUUGUCAGACUAAGUGUGGAGUUACUUGUGCAAGUUCCACCAUCAACAAACACAAAGUUCUGCAUGCUAUCAUCGCAAGUAAAGCAGUCAGUCUGUUAGGGAGAAAACAAAGGCUUGUGUGCUCAUUAGUUUUUUUUUGUUCUAUCAUGUGGUCUCCUUAUCUAUCUGUAACAUGUGACCUGUGCAACUGCAAAAAAUUUAGACAAUAAAAUUCUGUGUAACACAUGUUCUUAUACAUUUUGCCUAUAGAGACUGUGCAUAGUUAUUCCCUUUUUUGUUGCCUUGUGUAAUAUAUAUUGUAAACAAAUUGUCGUGACCUA